UGGAGGGCAAGUCUGGUGCCAGCAGCCGCGGUAAUUCCAGCUCCAAUAGCGUAUAUUAAAGUUGUUGCAGUUAAAAAGCUCGUAGUUGAAUUUCGGGAUCAGUUGGUCGGUCGUGCCUCGGUACGUACUGGUCAAAUUGAUUCCUACCUUCUGACGAACCACGAUGUCAUUAAUUUGGUGUCGCGGGAAAUCAGGACUGUUACUUUGAAAAAAUUAGAGUGUUUAAAGCAGGCUCGCGCUUGAAUACAUUAGCAUGGAAUAAUGAAAUAGGACGUUUGAUUCUAUUUUGUUGGUUUCUAGGAUCGACGCAAUGAUUAAUAGGGACAGUUGGGGGCAUUAGUAUUCAAUUGUCAGAGGUGAAAUUCUUGGAUUUAUUGAAGACUAACUACUGCGAAAGCAUUUGCCAAGGAUGUUUUCAUUAAUCAAGAACGAAAGUUAGGGGAUCGAAGACGAUCAGAUACCGUCGUAGUCUUAACCAUAAACUAUGCCGACUAGGGAUCGGAUGAUGUUAAUUUUUUAAUGACUCAUUCGGCGCCUUACGGGAAAC
rnacentral:rRNA from 1 species